rnacentral:ncRNA from 1 species
CAAAAUCUGAGUUUGAUCCUGGCUCAGAAGGAACGNUAGCUAUAUGCUUAACACAUGCAAGUCGAACGUUUUUUUCGGGGAGCUGGGUAGAAGGAAAAGAGGCUCUAGCUAAAGUUGUCUCGCCCUGCUUCAAAACUAUAGGGCGCAUGCUACGGCUUUGACCUAACGGCCUCCUUUGGCGGUAUCGGAACAGUUGAGAACAAAGUGGCGAACGGGUGCGUAACGCGUGGGAAUCUGCCGAACAGUUCGGGCCAAAUCCUGAAGGAAGCGCAAAAGCGUUGUUUGAUUGGCGGUACGCUCUACUCUCUCGCGACCUCUACUCUAAUCA